rnacentral:tRNA from 1 species
GGAGAGGUGACCGAGCGGUUGAAGGUGCACGCCUGGAACGCGUGUGUGCGGCAACGUACCCAGGGUUCGAAUCCCUGCCUCUCCGCCA